rnacentral:rRNA from 1 species
CCUACGGGUGGCAGCAGUCGAGAAUCAUUCACAAUGGGGGAAACCCUGAUGGUGCGACGCCGCGUGGGGGAAUGAAGGUCUUCGGAUUGUAAACCCCUGUCAUGUGGGAGCAAAUUAAAAAGAUAGUACCACACUAGGAAGAGACUGCUAACUCUGUGCCAGCAGCCGCGGUAAUACAGAGGUCUCAAGCGUUGUUCGGAAUCACUGGGCGUAAAGCGUGCGUAGGCUGUUUCGUAAGUCGUGUGUGAAAGGCGCGGGCUCAACCCGCGGACGGCACAUGAUACUGCGAGACUAGAGUAAUGGAGGGGGAACCGGAAUUCUCGGUGUAGCAGUGAAAUGCGUAGAUAUCGAGAGGAACACUCGUGGCGAAGGCGGGUUCCUGGACAUUAACUGACGCUGAGGCACGAAGGCCAGGGGAGCGAAAGGGAUUAGAUACCCCUGUAGUC